rnacentral:rRNA from 1 species
GUGCCAGCCGCCGCGGUAACACCGGCAGCUCGAGUGAUGGCCGAUUUUAUUGGGCCUAAAGCGUCCGUAGCCGGCCUCGCAAGUCCGUCGGGAAAUCCAGUAGCUCAACUACUGGGCGUCCGGCGGAAACUACAAGGCUUGGGACCGGAAGGCUCGAGGGGUACGUCCGGGGUAGGAGUGAAAUCCUGUAAUCCCGCACGGACCACCGAUGGCGAAAGCACCUCGAGAAGACGGCUCCGACGGUGAGGGACGAAAGCUGGGAUCUCGAACCGGAUUAGAAACCCCGGUAGUCC